GGGCCGCGCUCCUCGCUCGCCCUCGGACUCCGCUCCGGCUGCGAGCGGCCGCCCUGCCCGCGCCCAGCGCUGACCCAUCGGGCCCUCCGCGCCGGACCAGCUCCUCGGCUCCCGGGGCAGGACCGAGGCCGCAAGCAGCGCUGCGGGGUGUGGGGCAGACCCAGGAGAUGAAAUGACAACGUCAACCCUCCAGAAAGCCAUUGAUCUGGUGACAAAAGCCACAGAAGAGGAUAAAGCCAAGAAUUACGAGGAGGCGCUCCGGCUCUACCAGCAUGCCGUGGAGUACUUCCUGCACGCUAUCAAAUAUGAAGCACACAGUGACAAAGCCAAGGAGAGCAUUCGAGCCAAGUGCAUGCAGUACCUGGACCGGGCGGAGAAGCUGAAGGAUUACUUACGAAACAAAGAGAAGCAUGGCAAGAAGCCAGUCAAAGAGAAUCAAAGCGAGAGUAAGGGCAGUGAUAGUGACAGUGAAGGGGAUAAUCCAGAGAAAAAGAAAUUGCAAGAGCAGCUGAUGGGUGCCGUCGUGAUGGAGAAGCCCAACAUCCGGUGGAAUGAUGUGGCUGGGCUGGAGGGAGCCAAGGAGGCCCUCAAAGAAGCUGUCAUUUUGCCAAUUAAAUUCCCGCACUUGUUCACAGGCAAGCGCACCCCUUGGCGGGGGAUACUGCUCUUUGGACCACCCGGCACAGGGAAAUCCUACCUGGCCAAAGCAGUGGCAACGGAGGCCAACAACUCCACCUUCUUCUCUGUGUCCUCCUCAGACUUGAUGUCUAAGUGGCUGGGGGAGAGCGAGAAGCUAGUCAAGAACCUGUUUGAGCUGGCCCGCCAGCACAAGCCCUCCAUCAUCUUCAUCGACGAGGUGGAUUCACUCUGUGGAUCCCGCAACGAGAAUGAGAGCGAGGCUGCCCGCAGGAUCAAAACCGAGUUCCUAGUCCAGAUGCAGGGGGUGGGGAACAACAAUGAUGGGACUCUGGUGCUAGGUGCCACAAACAUCCCGUGGGUGUUGGACUCGGCCAUUAGAAGGAGGUUUGAAAAGCGAAUUUAUAUCCCAUUGCCGGAGGAGGCCGCCCGUGCCCAGAUGUUCCGAUUGCAUCUGGGGAGCACUCCUCACAACCUCACAGAGGCCAACAUCCAUGAGCUGGCCCGGAAGACAGAAGGCUACUCGGGUGCAGACAUCAGCGUCAUUGUGCGGGACUCCCUCAUGCAGCCCGUGAGGAAAGUGCAGUCGGCAACACACUUCAAAAAGGUCUGUGGCCCUUCCCGCACCAACCCUAGCGUUAUGAUUGAUGACCUCCUGACCCCAUGCUCACCGGGAGACCCAGGGGCCAUAGAGAUGACUUGGAUGGACGUCCCUGGUGACAAACUCCUAGAGCCUGUGGUUUGCAUGUCGGACAUGCUCCGGUCUUUGGCCACCACUCGGCCCACUGUGAAUGCAGAAGACCUCAUGAAAGUGAAGAAAUUCUCAGAGGACUUUGGACAGGAGAGUUAAAAGCUUCUUCAUUUGCCUGAUGGUGAAGUGGAGCUGCAAGUAAACAGGAAUGUCACCAGCGGCUGCAGUUCCGGGCCUGUUCUCCCAUCGCGUUCACGAGACCUUUCUUCCCCCAAGGCUUUGGAAGCGCUUACUGGACUUCUUACUAUACCUGUAUUUGGAUUUUGGAGGACUUCGCAAGCUCUUACAGAAGCAGCGAGCACUCAGAGCAGCCAGAGUGGCACCACCAAGCUCCUUCCCCAGGAGCUACACUCAGCAUCUCAGCAUCCAGCCGUCAUCGCUUUGCACUUGGUCUGUGAGCGCUUGUGCUGCAUCUCGAUUUAUUCUGUGCAUCUGUUAGCAUGAUGUGUCCUCCGUAACUGCUUCUUCCCUGUGUGCUAUUUCAGCUUAGGAAAGGCUUCGUCAGAACGUUCUUUCAGGUCAUGGAGAAACCUGUAUCACUCCAUGCCCUGCUCCAUGGCCUCCUCCCAAAGAACGAGCCACGUACCAGCUACCUAAGAGAUCUCCGCAGGAAAACCUUCCCCAGGCCUGUUAAAGGUGGAAAGCAAAAGCCCGAGACCUAAACUGUAUCUGAACCUUGGAAAAUGUAUGACCACUCAGUUACGUUAAGACUGUCAUUGAACUGGGGAUAUUCUGUCCUGUGUUUUGCUUCCACAGGCAGACUGGUAUCCAAAACAAACAGAGACUGUGCAAGUAACACACAUGGACCCUUUGUAACAUAAGACAUUGCUGAAGACAAGCAACCACAGCCUUAAUCUGCAUUUUAAACACAGCUUUCAGACGUUUGGGGGUUACAUCAUAAUCUAAUCUUGGCUUGGGGAAUAGAUGGCUACACUCUUCUGAAAUCA